rnacentral:misc_RNA from 1 species
AACUCUCAACCCCUGAUUCAUCAGGGCUUGGACCGUGGCCGCACUUGGCCGGCGUCUGACGUCGGCCCGGCCGAAAAACAUGCGGAGCGCAUCUGCACUCUGCAGCGACUGAGCGUUGUAGACCCCUCGCUUGGCUGCUGCUGUGAGCUGCGGGCUCCCCAGAUCUUAAUUCAU